rnacentral:rRNA from 1 species
UACAGAGGAUGCAAGCGUUAUCCGGAAUGAUUGGGCGUAAAGCGUCUGUAGGUGGCUUUUAAGUCCGCCGUCAAAUCCCAGGGCUCAACCCUGGGCGUGCAGUGGAUACGGGCAGGCUGGAGGCAGGCAGGGGAGAACGGAAUUCCCGGUGUAGCGGUGAAAUGCGCAGAUAUCGGGAGGAACACCGGUGGCGAAGGCGGUUCUCUGGGCCUGUACUGACGCUGAGGAGCGAAAGCGUGGGGAGCGAACGG